UUGCUCUGGAGCAAUCGAGAUAGCAUUGAACGCCCCCAGUUGAUCGUGGUGAUAACAUCCUAAUUCCAAGACCUGGUUUUUUUCUUUACAAAUGCAUCUGUGGAUCGCGGAAGAUUGAGACACGAUUUUUUAAACUCAUUCCUGAAAAUGGUUGGGAAGCCAACUUUGACGAUAUGGCUUCACUUAUUGAGGAGAGAACAAAGCUUAUUGUCGUUGUAAACCCAUCAAAUCCCUGUGGUUCUGUAUACAAAAGAGAACAUUUGGAAGAAAUUUUAAACAUUGCUGAAAAAUACCGCGUCCCAGUUC